GUCGGCCACCCACUGCCUUGCCGCCAGAACUGGAGGCGGGAGUGGAGGCUGCGGCUGGUCGGCCACCAGCUGCCAUGUCGGAGGCGAGAGAGCUGGCCGAGGCUGUGCAGGAGUUGAACACUGAGCUGGCAAGGUUCCAAGAGAACAUGCAGAAGGUCACCGAGUUCCAGGGCUCCCUCCUCCGUGUCAAUAAAAUGAUGUGUUUCUGGAUGGAGAAUACACAAGAGUUAAUAAAGCAUCGCAAACUGAUGAGUCAGCCACCCCCUACCUUGAAUCAGCUCAGGAAAUGAUGCCAACAGUAUUCAGGGGCUCUCUCCCAUCCAGAACUCUUCCACCUGGGCCUGUCUGAAGAUCCUAACUUGUUCUGUUUUCCUGUUGCUGUUUUCCCAACUGUUGAGUUCUCUACUGGGAAAGAUACUCUGCCCAGUCCCUCUUCCUGAGCCAUGCCGGGUGGGAGGUGCACUGCUUUCCCCGUGGACUCCCCUCAGGAGUGCUGGCGAGUGCAGAGAUCCAUCGCCGGACUCCAGGACAGCUCAAGCAGCUGCAGACAAAACCAGCUGAAACCAAACCCUUCGAACAGCUCAUCACAUUUGCAGGCUUCCUUUUGACCUGGUGUCGAGGGUCUAUCUGUGAGCUCUCAAAGGCACUGUCUCUUACUCAAAUAAACAGAGCACUAUCUCUUUC